GAUGAAGAACGCAGCGAAAUGCGAUAAGUAAUGUGAAUUGCAGAAUUCAGUGAAUCAUCGAAUCUUUGAACGCACAUUGCGCCCUUUGGUAUUCCUUAGGGCAUGCCUGUUCGAGCGUCAUUUGAAACCUCAAGCUCAGCUUGGUGUUGGGUGUCUGUCCCCGCCUCCGCGGGGACUCGCCUCAAAAUCAUUGGCGGCCGGUACGUUGGCUUCGAGCGCAGCAGAAACGCGAACUCGAGGCCCGGCGGAUCGGCGACCAGAAGUCUCUUCUUCACAGUUUGACCUCGGAUCAGGUAGGGAUACCCGCUGAACUUAAGCAUAUCAAUAAGCGGAGGA
rnacentral:misc_RNA from 1 species